UGCAGGCUGCAGGGAACAGAGCAGAUGGAUGGUGAGCAUCCGGGCUUUCCGUCCAGUGUACAAGGUCAUCGGCCAAGCUGCUGUGAAGGCGAUCCUUCCGGCCCAGACACUCUGAAAACACCCCAAGGGUGCUCCCGUCACAAGACAAACAUGGGACAAGGAGAGCGCCUGGGUUUCUAGGAUAGACAGGCUGUUCAGACCUGGACUGUCUCAGAUAAAGCAGGCUGCCGACACCUUAUGUUUGUACAGCAUCCUCAAAGUCUGACUGACAUCCCUCGGCUAAGCACAUAAAACUUGUUAUUGCAGUUUUGCCAGAGACCAUGACAUCUCCGCUGUACUCAACACUAAGAGAUUAACCAGCUCAGGUUCCUAGGGAGAGAAUGCCUGGGGCAACACAGAGCCCUGCAGCAGCAGAUUCCCCAUUUUGUAUGAGGACAAGAUGGACUUGUGAAUUUGGCCCCAUUUGUUAGUCUUCCUACAUACUGACUCCAGAUGUCCACUAUUGACAGGCAAAUGUCUUUAUCAUGGCAAAGCCCCUAUCACCUUGGCAGGCCCUGCUUCACUGUUUCAGUGGGUGGGGGGGGUCGGGGGUUGGGGGAGACAGGAACCUGGCUGAUGGAGGGAAAACAGGUAAGGAAGUAGGGGCAAACUGUGUGUAGAGCUUGUGACUUGAGAUGGGAAAUCCAAGAGGAGGAAAAGAUGGGGAGGCUGGAGUGGACUGUCUACUGCUCUCGGCCAUUCCUUCAGGGUCUGCCUUCAUUCUGAAUGAGAACAUCUUGGCAAGGGGUCCAUGGGACACUGGGAGGACACUGAAAACAAAGUGAUGUUUUGUGUCCUCCAGCAAGGAGAGAAAAAUUUAAAAGCCUUGCAGCCAAGAGGGAACCAGGAGCCGAUCUUCACAACUGUUAGCCCUUUCAAAUCCUCAAGCUGGAGGGAAGCAAGCAACCCAACAAGUUCAGCCCCUUGCCAUUUCAAUGCAGAGUUGAAUUGCAUCCUCUCAUGGUGUUGAGAGGGCCCAACUGCAAGCUCAGAAGACAUGGAGGCUCGGUGCCCUCCCCCUGGAAGUCUCAGAAGUCCACGAUAGAGACAAUGUGUCAUCCCAAGUCCACUGCAGCCUCCAGGAAGCACAGCCCUUGACUGAAUCACCAUGGUACCCAGCCCCACCUGACAGCCGUGCUACCAGGGAGAACGCAGAAGGCAGGCAAUGCUCUGCAGAUGCCUUUCCUUGUUUUACAGCUCACGUCUACUCUUCAGCCAUGCAACCUGCCAGUUUUCACAUUCAGCUGUAUUUUACCUGGGAUGCAAGCUUCAGUCUCUGCAUGGCAACCAAGGAAUGUGCCCAGCUAUGGAUACCGAGUUGCUAACGACCUUGAACACAAACCUGACUACAAUGUAAGACACAGAGUUUCUUGUUGAUAGCAGAAAGUCACACUGCAGGGCCACUCUGCCUAGAGCGAAUCUCAGCUUUAUCACCUGCCAUAGACCUACCCCUAAAUUUCCUGGGACCUGUUUCUUUAUCUGUGGACCCAGGAUAACAAGUUCAUGACAAACCUGACAGUGUGUCUCACACUCUUAACGAGUUAGAGGAUCAACAAUCAUUUGAAGAAUGUGUCAGGUAAGGUUUUAGUCCUUUCCAUAAUUAUUCCAUAAUUAUUAUUCUACAUAGAUUAUUUAGAGGUAGGCUUAGUAUAAGCAAGUGCUGUCCAUUUUAAGAAAACAAAAAUGAAGUCAAAUGUAAAUAAUCAAAACUGGCUCUGGCUGCCUAGAAACAUAUCAUAUAAGUGGAUACUUGAGUAAUUCUACAUAAGUGAAUUAAUAUUAAAUAAAUGUACAAGCUAGUUCCUCUGGUAUAUAUAUUGUCCCAAGUUGUUCAUCACCCUUGUAUGGAUAGAAUGGGUUCCAGAUCUUUCCACCAGAGCCAGCUGCCACCCUGGUUAGAAGUGGGUAAAGAUGAAUCUCAUUCUCCGAUCCAUCUCUAACUUUACAAAGGACUCACCAAGGUAACUGGCUACCCACAUGCGUGUCUUUUCUCCUUCCCUUCGGCCUUUUAAGAUGGUGGAGAAGCAAGAUAACAAGCUCCCACAAGCCACCUCUCCACACCUCUGCUAACCUUUGCUCACAACAGGACGCGAAGCAGCUGUUGCUGAAGGCAGAGAUUCUUGCUUUUGCCCAAGUACCAAGUCAGACUCCAAGAGCAUGCUCACACAGACCCAAACUCUGAGCUUCUGGGGACCAAGCCUGUGCCUUUCUGACCCUGCUCAGCUCUAAGCUGUAGUGUGUGAUCAUCCAACAACAGGAUAUGGACUCUCUAGUCGGGUCUUACAUUUAGAAAUAGGAAACCCACACCAUCUCUUUAGAACAUUCUCCGAGCAGAGAAAAUUGACAAGUCAACUUGCCAGGAAAUCACACUGCAAGAUAAAUUAGUCAGUCACGUUUAAGUAAAUCCUGAGACAGGCAGGUAAGCUGUAUAUUCACAAGCCUGCUGGUGCUGCAUUUCCACCAGGCUUCCCAGAGCACAGAGGCCAGGGACAGCUCCAUCGGGCAGCUCCAUCUUGAAAGAGUAAAUGUGUCACUCAACAAGAAGUCAGGAAGCAGGGAGCCAUGGCAUGGCUGGGGUUGAGAUUGGAGAACAGAAACAGAUAGAGGCCACUCAAUUACUGAGCCCAGCUCACUCGUGGCAUCUUCACCUGAGUGGUCUUUGUGAGGAGAAAGCUAAGCAGAGUCUGCAGGGAGAUGGUCUGCAGGAGUAAUAAAGAAUGGGGCCCUGCAGAGAGCUAUUUGUUCCGGUUUGACACUAGCACAGCACAGACUGGAUGCCUCUUAAGGUGUCUGUCACUACUCCAGAUGGUGGGACUAACUGGAAAUGACAAUUUAGGAACUGGGAAGUCAGGGGAUACUUCCUAGGGAAAAGUAAUUUUUUUCCAGAAUGAAACUGCAGACCACACCCACCUGUUGUUCCUGUACUCUGCCAGGAAGUGGGACAGUUUUUGUCCCAGAGGACAGAGGAGUUCAACUCCCACCCCUACCCCUCCUGUUGGGGGAGAGAAAUCAAGUACUCAGUCUACAGAGCAACUAUGUUGCUCUCCCGGGAUCAUACCAUCUCCUGUCUAAACCUUGACAACCAGGACCUUGGUCUGUUUUGCUACAUUAUCUUCCAGACUGUGUGAGCCUCACUGAGGUCCACCAUAGUUGGUUCUGCUUCCUCCCUCCUCCUCCCCCUCCCUCCCGCCUCUCCCUGGGCUUUUGCUUGCUGCCUGUUGCUCUCCUUCCCCAAGAGGUCUCAGCUCGGUCCUCAGCUGCCAUCCUGUUUGCCUGUGUGCCUUCAUCGUUCCUCAGGCACUGCAAAUCUUAAUUAUGUGACUCAGCUCCAACAGGGCCAGGGGGUUGGCAGAAUCCCUGAGACCCGCUGACAGCACCCUCACCCCACAGGCCAGCACUGUCACAUCCAGGAGGCGGAAAGCAGUACCUUCAGAUACCUGCCCUCAGAGCAGACACUUGGAAGUCGCCAUGGACUCCUCAUCCUCCCAAGCCGUUGGACACACUGUGCCAAUAGAAAACCAAGAGGCUGGAGUUUCAAUGUCUGCCUGCCUUCUCCCGAUUGGAUAUGCUGCGUGAGGGGCGAUCAGUCGUCUGACAGCCCCCUACCUGCAUUUCUAGCUUUAUAUAGGUGGUACACAGCAAUUGUUCAAGAUGUAUUUAUGGGAAGAAAACAUGAAUGAUCGAUCGAGCAUCUUGGUUACAAAGUCCCAAGUCAAAUGCUACCCUAAGUGGUAGGAUUGGGGUUUGAAGCCGAGCAGCGAUCUUGCAGAGUGGAAUCUAUGCAGGGAGGGUUGGAAGAAGCUGCCUCCUUGGAUAGACUAGGCUUGUGGGUAGCCAGCACUAAUGAGCGCAAUUAAUAAACUCCGUCAGGCCUUCAUCUGUAAUGGAAGGAGCUGCAGUGAUACAGACGGCAGCUGGCCCAGCAGUUCAGGAUGGAGGAGGCAGCAAGCAGGGUUCUUGCCUUCAUUAGCUUUGGUGUGAGCACAGUGGCCAUUUGGGAAGACUGCAGAACAGCCUGCCUUGUGUCACAUGCACAGCCACUGGGGCUUCAUUAGAGAAAAGAAUAGUACCGUUGUACAUUAUUCUACAAUGUCCGGAAAGAGCACACUCCCUCAGGAACUGCAGCACGCAGGCAUGGAAGAGUCUAGGUAAUGUGGCAGUGCUCUCCUGGUGGGCUUCUGCCUGUUUGCAAAAUAUGACCAAACUGCAAUGGGCUGGGCUGCCUCUGCAGAUGCUGAGCAGCCUGGAAAGCUGAUGCAAUGAUAUCUUCUCGCCUCCCGACCCAAGGCACAGAGUGCUAAUGGGUGUGGCAUGUGCUGAAACUGAAGGCUUUCAACGGGAGGUAUGGCUCAGGUGACUCAGAUGACUGUGAGAAAUGGGUGUGCUUUGGCCAAAACCGGAAACAAGGCCAUUCUGCCCCUCGGCAGCCUGUGGCAACAAGGAGGGAGGGAGACAGCUGAAGACUGCCAGGGAAGAAGCUACCAGGAAGAGGUAGCCAUGAAGUCUGCCCUAAAUUGGCAUCUAUGGCCCGGCUGUUGGCCCCUGAGCUCCUAUGGCUCACCCUGCCCUGUAUGCUCCUACAGAAGGCACCAAGACCCAGUGAGGAACAGAUGAGGAACCUUUGAAGUAUGGCGCAGUUUUGACAAAGAAGACAUUAUAAAAUUCAAAACUACCUCCAGCAGCUUAACACAUAUCCUAACAUGGUCUGAGUGUGGCAACUGGCUGACAAAUAGCUACUCCAGAAGGCCAGACUUCCGAAAAGACAACCACAGAGGUAUAGAAACUGCUACAAAGGUGGUGUAAAAAAUAAAGAAAUGCAAGUGGUGACUGGAUACAUGUUCUUAUUCAAAUCUAGUGCUAACAGCUACCAGAGGGACUGGCAUAGGCCCCUGAGACUGGUUCCCUGUGUCUGCAACCCUAAUGGCCAGUUGCAAGUGAACACCCACGGGGAUGUCUGCAAGUGGAAGUCCGACAUUACACAGGCACCUGGAUACCUUUAUACCCCUGCCAGGGAACCAGCUCUGCUCUGCUCUUGAGUGCAUGAACAUCUCCAGUUUAAGAGCUCAAGUUAAAAAACACUCCGUCUGCCACCGCCCCUACCUCCUCCCACACCAGCAAGCCUCACGGAUGCUUGGCUCAGGGCUCUGCAGAGGCUAAUAUGAAAACAAUCCGGAUUUAAUUUAAACUUUAGUGCCUCAGAAGGUAAUUAAAGAGUUGGGCCAGACUCAAGCUCUUUCUGGGAGCAAGCCGAGAGAGGCCUCUCUGCCAUGGAGACCCAGCACCGUGGUCCUUUCCCACUAAUCCCCCUCAGCCCUCCUAGGUGCUGUUGUGAAUAAUUACUUCAUCAGAGCGGCUCUGGAUCAAUGGGCUUAGAGUGUUUGUAAUUAGCAGCUUCUGCAGAAGGUCCAGCUGAGCCUACUUUUCUGGUGAAGAUUAGGCACUGGAAUAAGAUCCCAGAGCCAGGGUCUGAGCAGAGGCAGGGUUCCUUCUUAAUGUGUCUCCCCUCCCCUCCACCCUGGGCUGGCUUCUCCUUGGUACCACUGCCAUCUCAUCAGGACGCUGGUUCCCCGAGGGGCUUUAGACUCCGCCUCUUCCAGUUGUUGCACAUCUGGCAGUCGUAGGAGUCAUGAUGCUGCAAGCCAGGGAGCUUCAAAGACGAAAGCAUGGUAUUCCCACAGUUCCCUUAGGGUCCUGGCUCUCAUGAACUGAUGUGCAAACAAAAGUAAAGGACUGGAUCUGCUUA